GAGAAGAGGUUGCAGAUGAUCAAGGAGCGACACGUGCAGGGAUGGCUUGAAAAGGGCAAAGAGGUGCCCGAAGCCCCGUCCUGUGUAGCCUGAGCACGCCUUGCUGAGUAUGAAGCUUGCUUUCCAGCAGUUCCCAAAACUGUGUUGAAGCUGAAAUGCUGCGUCUGUGUUUGUGUUGGGGUUGCACCUUGGUGAUUGGCUUCAGGUUCCAGGUGGGACCUAAUGGUAACUGAGUUGCAGGUAUGCCAUGAGAGAGCUCCUUCUGCCUGGGCUGCACUUUUGGAGUGUAAACCCUUGGAGGAGCCUGUCACAGGAAAGAGCUCCUUCUGGAACUGUUCAGCACUUGGUAGGCAACUUUUGUUUAAUUUGUUUAAGGUGAAACACAGUGUACAAAACGGGACUUGAUGACCAAAGCUGCUUUUGGCAAGGUGAGCGAUGAACAGAUGUAGCAGGUACUUUAGGGGUGCAGUUGUCACUGCAGUUAGUUAACUGCACAAAAUACAGUAAAAAUCCUGAUUGUAUUUCAGAGUUGUAGUAGCUGGCCUAAGAGAGCAGAUGGAAGCAUCUGCCUCGAGGGCAGGUGAGGGGGGCAGAUGUAAGGCAGCAGAUGAGAGUAUCUCUCCCUCUGUGUUGUGGCUUUGGAUGCUGCUUCAGCCUAUGUUUUUCUUUUUGUUUCACAUUUGUCUCACACAGGCUCAGAGGGGCCAAGCUGCACUCUGAAGAGCAGCACGAGAAGGGCGGGCUGGUUGUGAGCUGGAUUGGAGCAGAACAGCCAAGUAGCACGAGGUGAUUGGCUUCAGGUUCCAGGUGAGACCUAAUGGUAACUGAGUUGCAGGUAUGCCAUGAGAGAGCUCCUUCUGCCUGGGCUGCACUUUUGGGUAAGUGCUUUGUUUUUCCUUCAGUCAGUUGCAGGGUUCUUUAGGUGGGUCAGAGUCUAUGGACUGAUGCGUUUUCCAGUAGAAACCGGUACGCAUAUCUUUUUGAGUUGGUAACUGGUAGGAUCUGUCAUUGUAAAGCAAUCUAGUAGUAGGUGCCUGUAUUGCACGCAGCUCUUCCUCAGGUGAGUAGUUGUUAUGGCAGUUUUACGGAUGGUAUGGUGAUGUUACUUUGUGUGUUUGCUUUGUGGUUCUGGGUCCCUUCUGAUUUUUGCAGAAUUACGGGGCUUUUUGUGAUUCUUUGCCUGUAUGUCAAAUCUUAUCAAAGUUACAACCUUGUUGUUAAAGUGAUGGAGCAGGGUUUAGUUGAAAUGUAUCAUGGAAGCUCCCUGUGUGAGCAUGUGUCUGAAAAUGGCAGCAAUGGGCACGUAAGGGGUAGUCUGUUUCAAGUUUAGGGACAGGUUGUUAUAUUUCUGGAGCUUUUGCCUGUGUGUUUUCUGUCUGUCGAGUGUUUAGACCUUGCAGCCUUUUAGUCUUGAUGUCCUUGAAUUGACAUAUUAGAAGUAUGUUUAUUAGGUGUUUCCAGGUAGUUGUUUUUGGGAAACAGUGGGGUAAUGUCUCUUGACCGCAUAAGUGCAGUAGUGCCUAGAG